GUGCUUGCUUCAGCAGCACAUAUGUUGAAUUUGAAAUGAUACAGAGAAGAUUACCAAUGUCCCUGCACAAGGAUGAUACACAAAUUAAUGAAGUGUUCCAAAUUUUU
ensembl:snRNA U6 U6 spliceosomal RNA